rnacentral:rRNA from 1 species
CCCUACUGCUAUCUGGAUGGGACUAAGACAUGCUAGUCGUGCCCUUCAAGCCAUGAUGGAGGCGCGGCGCACAGCUCAGUAACACGUGGUUAACCUGCCCUUGGGACGGAAACACCCCCGGGAAACUGGGGCUAAUUUCCGAUAGGUGAAGGCUCCUGGAAUGGAUCUUCGCCUAAAGGGCGCUUAGGCCAUGCUUCUAGGCGCUGCCCAAGGAUGGGGCCGCGGCCGAUCAGGUUGUUGGUGAGGUAAUGGCUCACCAAGCCUUUAACCGGUUCGGGCCGUGGGAGCGGGAGCCCGGAGAUGGGUACUGAGACACGGACCCAGGCCCUAUGGGGCGCAGCAGGCGAGAAACCUUUGCAAUGUGCGAAAGCACGACAAGGUUAAUUCCCCCCGGAAAGUGUCUCCUGGCUAAAGGGAGUUCUUUUUUGUCAGUUGUAGAAUCACUGGUGAAUAAGGGGUGGGCAAGUUCUGGUGUCAGCCGGGG